rnacentral:rRNA from 1 species
UACGGGAGGCAGCAGUGGGGAAUAUUGCACAAUGGGCGCAAGCCUGAUGCAGCCAUGCCGCGUGUAUGAAGAAGGCCUUCGGGUUGUAAAGUACUUUCAGUCGUGAGGAAGGUGUUAAGGUUAAUAACCUUAGCAAUUGACGUUAGCGACAGAAGAAGCACCGGCUAACUCCGUGCCAGCAGCCGCGGUAAUACGGAGGGUGCGAGCGUUAAUCGGAAUUACUGGGCGUAAAGGGCACGCAGGCGGUUAAUUAAGUUGGAUGUGAAAUCCCCGGGCUUAACCUGGGAAUGGCAUUCAAGACUGGUUAGCUAGAGUCUUGUAGAGGGGGUAGAAUUCCAUGUGUAGCGGUGAAAUGCGUAGAGAUGUGGAGGAAUACCGGUGGCGAAGGCGGCCCCCUGGGACAAAGACUGACGCUCAUGUGCGAAAGCGUGGGGAGCAAACAGGAUUAGAUACC